ensembl:snRNA U4 U4 spliceosomal RNA
AGCUUUGCGCAGUGGCAGUAUCGUAGUCGAUGAGGUUAAUCCGAGGCGCGAUUAUUGCUAGUUGAAAACUUUUCCCAAUACCCCGCCGUGACGACUUGAAAUAUAGUCGGCAUUGGCAAUUUUUGAGAGCCUCUUCGGAGG